AGUUCAGGAAGGCUAAGGUCUGCUAUGCGGUGCUAAGAUGGGGAAGGGGGCAUCUAAGAUAACACCAAAUUCAAAAAUCAGACAGUGCAGCACAUGUACUCAAAGAUAAAUAAUAGUACAAAAGGAAAAUAUAUCAGCACCAAACCAAAUGAGAAAUCUAAGGUAUCUAGUCAUCCUACAAAGAAGAAGAGAGGAGAAAUGGCAAAAUGUACAUCAGAGAGAAAGCCUCCGUCUAGAACUAUCACAAGUGCAUCGAAAGCCAAGAGGGGAAGGUCCCAAAAAUCCAGCCAACAACACCCAGAGAGAAAUUAAUCUUAUACAACCAAGAGACAGAGGAAGACUUCACCACCUCUGGGGGUGGGGGGAGAAGUAGAUAAAAAGCUACUUGGGCUAGGUCAGACUUUAAGAAAAUAAACAUCUGGUUAACUAUGAAGUAAAUUAUUACACCAACUAAUAUUCAAACAUGGUAAAAAUAAAA
rnacentral:lncRNA from 1 species